rnacentral:rRNA from 1 species
ACGGUUGACCUCGGAUCAGGUAGGAAUACCCGCUGAACUUAA